rnacentral:misc_RNA from 1 species
GAAAUGCGAUAAUUAAUGUGAAUUGCAGAAUUCAGUGAAUCAUCGAGUCUUUGAACGCACAUUGCGCCCCCUGGUAUUCCGGGGGGCAUGCCUGUCCGAGCGUCAUUGCUGCCCUCAAGCACGGCUUGUGUGUUGGGCUUCCGUCCCUGGCAACGGGGACGGGCCCAAAAGGCAGUGGCGGCACCAUGUCUGGUCCUCGAGCGUAUGGGGCUUUGUCACCCGCUCCCGUAGGUCCAGCUGGCAGCUAGCCUCGCAACCAAUCUUUUUAACCAGGUUGACCUCUGAUCAGGUAGGGAUCCCCGCUGAACUUAAGC